GCAGGUCACAAAGCCAAGAAAUGAUGGAAAAUGUGAGGUACCAAGGCCAAGGCUUGUUGGGAGGUUAGCGAAGCAGUCUGCUAAGCUGCAUCCUUCUCUGCCGUCUGCUGGUGGUCUUUUAAAAACUGCUCCAAUCUGUGAAAUUGUUGGUGGUGAUUCUGUGGCUAACUGGAUUUUGGGAGUUAUCUGUGCUCUAAAAUUGCCGGAGUUACCCUUCAUUGCUCCAAUUCCGCUGCCAACGAGUUCUCCUAUUAUUGAUAGCAUCUCAAGUUCCUUUGGAUGGGUAGGACAUUUAUCUUUUAGCAAGGCAUAUUUUCUCUCUGCAUGUUGAUGAAAUGCUGUUGGUUUCUUGUUAGUGUUGUUCAAUGGCUUAGGCAUGUUGUGAGAUAUGUCACUGGGCCAAUGGUUACAAGUUUUAGUCCAAUGAGCAUGCUAAAUAUGGACUGAUUGCAUUAGUUUGCCGUUUGUUGCUUCCCUCGUAGUUGUACUGUAAGGAAUCAGUUUCCAAGCACAUGAUUUCAUUGCUUUCGUCAUGUAAUUGAUGAUCUGCUGAAUUCCAGAGGAGCAUUUCUCCUGAUGAUCCAGUGAAAUUGUCCCUGCUAGAUGUACAAUAUGCGAAAAAAAUGAAAACUGACAGGAUCCAAACUAUUUAUUCACUGGCUUCCUUCCAUAUUUGAUGAUUCAGCUAAAUUAAAAUUAUGCUGGAGCUUAAAAUUAUCACAACCAAAGUUCGCAGCCAACCAAGCAAGCAGAUGACAUCUCUUUUCGAAAGGGUGCAUUAGUAUUCCCCUGUGGAGGGUCCACAUCACUUGAGGUGCGUUUGCAUUUGACAGAAAUCUAAUACUGUCAGUAUUACUGCUGGGAUAGGAUCAUGACAUACGGUCGUGCCUUCUGUUUUCUGAACCAUUUCUACUGCUGGGAUAGGACCAAAUGACACAGCUUGCAUCAGUCCACGCACAAUGCAAUAGACCUGUGAUACCAACCCCAGCCAUCAAUGAUGCAUAUCGACCCGAAAUGCCUCAAACUGUUCCAGAUUCGCAGCCGAACUGAAAGGGUUGGUUUCACUUGGCAUUAUCUAGUUUGAAAUGUAUUUACUUUGGUUCGAAAUGUAUUUUGGUAGGAAUGUAAAUAACAUCUUGCUAUGAAUGUAAAGUUUAUUCAUGUUCGAUUGAGUUGUGGAUUUGUUCACUUGAUUGUAAGUAUUUGAAGUGUA